GACGAACGCUGGCGGCGUGCUUAACACAUGCAAGUCGAACGAGUGGCGAACGGGUGAGUAAUACGUGGGUAACCUGCCCUCUUUUUGGGAUAAUCCUUGGAACCGUGGUCUAAUACCCAAUAAAGGGGGCUGGGGUCGCGGGCUAUCAGCUGGUUGGUGGGGUGAUGGCCUAGCAAGGCGGUGACGGGUAGCCGGGCUGAGAGGGUGACCGGGGACAGGAGAACGGGGAUACAGCCCAGAGUACUACGGGAGGGAGCAGUGGGGGAUAUUGGACAAAGGGCGAAAGCCGGAUGCAGCGACGCAGCGUGGGGGAUGAAGGGUUUCGAGUUGUAAACAGCGUGCGCGAUCGAACGGGUAGGUGGAGAAGAAGCGCCGGCUUAAUACGUGCCAGCAGGCGCGGUUAUUC
rnacentral:rRNA from 1 species